rnacentral:rRNA from 1 species
CUCAGGGACGAAGCCUAGGGGCACGAACCGGAUUAGAUACCCGGGUAGUCCUAGGUGUAAACGCUGUGAACUUGGUGUCGGGAGUCCGCAAUGGGCCCCCGGUGCCGGAGUGAAGAUGUUAAGUUCACUGCCUGGGGAGUACGGUCGCAAGGCUGAAACUUAAAGGAAUUGGCGGGGGAGCACUGCAACGGGAGGAGCGUGCGGUUUAAUUGGAUUCAACGCCGGAAAACUCACCAGGGCCGACUGUUAGAUGAAGACCAGCGUAAUGAGCUUGUCGGAUUUUCAGAGAGGUGGUGCAUGGCCGUCGUCAGUUCGUACUGUAAAGCGUUCUGUUAAGUCAGACAACGAACGAGACCCUCAUCUCUAUUUGCAACCUGUCUCUCCGGAGGCGGCGCACUAUAGAGAGACCGCUGGUGUGAAACCAGAGGAAGGCGAGGGCAACGACAGGUCAGUAUGCCCCGAAUGUCCUGGGCUACACGCGCGCUACAAAGGACGGGACAAUGGGAAGCCAGGCCGAGAGGCCGAGCUACCCCGAAACCCGUUCAUAGUUCGGAUCGUGGGCUGUAACUCGCCCACGUGAAGCUGGAUUCCGUAGUAAUCGUGUUUCAAUAUAGCACGGUGAAUAUGCCCCUGCUCCUUGCACACACCGCCCGUCAAACCA